rnacentral:lncRNA from 1 species
UUCAGUAAUGACUAAAUUUAUUUAUAUCAGCAGAAUAAGAUAGGAGCAAAUGUAUGUCGAAUAAUCAACUCGCUAGAAAUCAAGCAAUAGGAGAGUAAAACAGGCAAAUAAUUCUCAUACAGUAUACAUAAUUAAUUUGGUACCUGUUGUGCUCUUCUACAUUUGAAGGUCUGCUGAUGCGGCCUGCGGUUAUGCUAGACUCCGCCCUUCGUUCCACUCGUCUCACCCUAAAGAUGACGAACACAUCACAAUGGAAUCGGAAGGGCUCCUAGGCCCUAGACUCUAAGUACUCGAAUGCCAAAGCAAAAGCAGUGCAACCAGAAUACCAGAUUGUGCUGUUGAGUGGAUGUGGGCGUAUAAUGCCAGUGCUGCGUGGGCCUCCUAUCAUCUUCCGCCCUCUCCCGCCUCUCCUCUUGUUACUCCUCGGAUACUACCUGCAACAAGCGAAUAAGAGAAGUAGAGAACAUAUAUAGUCUGACGACCCCACGACCGAACUCUCUUUUCCCUACAGCCUACAUAGCCAUUACAUCAAACAGCACGCGAGCACCUCGGCCCGCGUCGGCCUGUCAGACCCGAGUUGUCUGACGGACUAAAUUCAGAAAAUGCACUCAGAAUUCAGAGAAUAUCACUAGCACAACUUGAUUUCAGAGGACAGUUUGGCUAGGGUUUUGGUUACAAGGAGACCAACCGGGAACACCGGUGGCUAGGGUUUACCCCAAGGGAGAAUAAUCAUGAGCACGCAGGCUCUCAAAUCCUGGCUAUAUAGCCUUACAAGCCACUAGAAGGGGCGAGAAACGCACAUGGAGGAGAGGGGAGUGGUUGAGCUUUACAGAAAGAUCAACGGCGACGCCUUGACCACCAAGAGCCGUCCGAUGGAAGAUCAACGCACCACGUCUUCUGUAGCUUGCCGAAGCGGUACGAAGCAACCAGGUGCGUUGGAUGGAAGAUGGGCGGUUUUCCAAGCUUAGCGCCCAUGUUUAGCAGUCUGAAUUUAACUGAAUGAACGAGAACAGAAAAGAUACAGCAUACAGGGUCCUGACAAUUCCUCCCGCGCGAGACCAGACCUGUCCUCAGGGCUGAAAGAAAGGAAACACCUUCUGGAUGAACUGGGCAUCCUCCCAGGUUGCGUCCUGCAAUGGCAGGUUGGCCCACUUGAUCUUCCAGCGUACCACUGGUAUGUCGAUGUCCCCUGGGUUCGAGGAACCAAUUUUAUUUCCAGCAGCAUCUCUGGUUCCAGAAGAAUUGUGCCAUCAGGGUUGAUCAAAGGAAGUUUGGGAUUGGGCACCGCAGUAGGGCCGAUGUGUUUCUUUAACUGGCUGAUGUGGAAUGUGUGGUGGAGUUUGCAAUCCUCCGGUAACAGCAGCUUGUAAGCGACCUUGCCUAUUUUCUGUAGGACUUUGAAGGGUCCAUAGUAUUUGGAGUGGAGCUUCAGGCACCUGUGAAUGCUCAGUGUGGUAUGCCUAUAAGGUUGUAACUUUAGGUAGACCAUGUCUCCUACUUCCAAGGACCUUUCACUUCUCUUUUUGUCUGCAUAAUGUUUCAUCCUUUCCUGUGUUGUGAGUAGGUUGCCCUUGAUCUGAUUGGCUGUCUGUUCAGCGGUGAGUACCGAAGGUAAUGUGUCUGUGCUGUCCUCUGGGUAUAAAGCAGCUUCCGCUAGCAUUUGUGGUUUCCUGUUGUACAAAGCCUGAAAUGGUGUGAUUUGAAGAGCUGUAUGGAAGCUUGUAUUGUACCACCAUUCCGCCAGGGAGAGCCACUGGUGCCACUUGGUUGGUUUGAGAAAUGCCAUGCAUCUUAAAUAAUUCUCCAUGCACUGAUUAACCCUCUCAGUCUGACCAUCCGACUGGGGGUGAUAGGAGGUACUAAGGUGGAGUUUAAUGCCCAAUUUCUUGAAAAGUUCCUGCCACAGGUUGCUAGUGAAGAUCUUGUCCCUGUCAGUUACUAUCACGGAUGGAAGACCAUGGAGUUUAAAGAUAUUAUCCACAAAGGCCCUAGCCACAGAACUGACAGUGAUAGGGUGUUUCAUAGCAAUAAAGUGGCUGUACUUGGUGAACCUGUCCACGACCACUAGGAUCAAGUCCUUGUUGUUGGAUGUAGGCAGCCCCUCCACAAAAUUCAUGCUGAUAUGGCACCAAGCAAAGUCAGGGACUGGUAGUGGCUGUAGCAAGCCAGGAUAUUUGCAAUGCUCUGCUUUGUUGAUUUGGCAAACAGGACACUGUUUGAUAUAGUCCACUACUGCUUGUUUCAUGCCGGGCCAAUGGAAUAAUAACUUGAUUCUCUGAUAUGAAGCUCUAUGACCCAAGUGACCACCCAAUUCCGAGCUGUGUAAAGCAGCAAUUAAUUUGUUUUGGAGGGGUUGGCUGUUUCCAAUCACUACUCUGUUCUUGUAUCUGAGAAUACCAUUCUAGAGAGUGUAGUUUGGUAAUCCUGAAGGAUUAAUGGAUAAUUGGGUGAUCAAGUCCUUGCACUUGUUGUCAGAUUUGUAAGUAUCAGUAACCUCUCCUAUCCAAGCAGGUUUGGCUGUACUAACAAACAAACUGUGGAGUUUGUGUUGCACUCUUGAGAGUGCAUCAGCAACUCUGUUGGUAUUUCCCUUCUUGUACUCAAUUGUGUAGUUGUACCCCAACAGUUUAACCAAGAGCUUAUGAUGAAUUCCUUCAGUAAGUUUCUAGUCUUGGAUGUACCUUAAACUUUGUUGGUCAGUUCUUAUUAUCAGAGAAGAAGCUGAGAAGUAAUGUUUCCACUGUUUGAGUGCUUCUAUAAUAGCCAAAGCUUCCUUGUCAUAAGUGGACCAAGCAGUAGCCCGAGGUCCAAUUGCUUUGCUGAAGUAAGCAAUGGGCCGUCCACCCUGCAUGAGGACAGCACCAAUUCCAUAAGCACACACAUCAGCUUCGAGCACAAAUGGUUUUGUGAAGUCAGGUAGAGCAAGGACAGGAGCUUGGAUCAUUUUGUGUUUCAGUGUGUUGAAUGCUUCUUGCUGCUCAUUUGACCACUGGAAACUGUCCUUCUUAAGAGCAUUGAAAAGAGGUUUGCAGAUAUAUCCAUAAUUUUGCACAAAUCUUCUGUAAUACCCUGUGAGGCCCAAGAAACUUCUCAAUUGUGAAACAUUUUCAGGGGCAGGCCAUUGAGUAAUUGCUUCGAUCUUUAUAGGGUCUGUGGCAACCCCAUCUCCCCUAAUGAUGUGGCCCAAGUACUCCACCUGAGGUUGAGCAAAAAUACAUUUGCUUAAGUUGACCACCAGUUGAUUUUCCUGUAGGGUUUUAAAAACCUCAUCCAAGUGUGCCAAAUGGUCCUCCAAUGUUUCACUGAAAAUCAAUAUGUCAUCAAAGAAAACCAACACAAAUUUUCUGAGAUGUUUCUUGAGGAUUUUGUUCAUUAACAUCUGAAAAGUGGCAGGGGCAUUGGUUAGGCCAAAAGGCAUAACCAAAUAUUCAUAAUGUCCACAAUGAGUAGUGAAAGCAGUCUUUUCAAUGUCUUCCUCUUUCAUUCUUAUUUGGUGAUAGCCACUCUUCAAAUCCAAUUUGGUAAACACAGUAGCUCCAUGAAGCUCAUCCAGCAAAUCCUCAAUAAAUGGAAUAGGGUAUUUGUUCUUGAUUGUUUGGGAAUUUACUUUUCUGAAAUCAUUGCACAGCCUCCAAGACAGAUCCUUCUUUUUAAUGAGAAUAGCGGGAGAAGAAUAAGGACUAGAGCUGUCUCGAAUUAUUUGCUUAUUGACCAUGUCCUAGAUGAUGGUCUCCAUAGCAUUCUUCUGAUGAUGAGGCAGUCUAUAAGGUCGUUGAUUGACUACUUUGGCCCCAGGUAUAAAAGGAAUUGCAUGGUCACAAGCCCUAGCAGGGGGCAACAUAGUAGGACUAGAGAAGACUUUUUUGUAUUUUCCCAUCAUGGCCUUGAUUUGAGGGUGCACAGGGGUUGUUGAUGUAUCUUCAGACUGUAACUUGUUGACAACAAUAACUGCACCACAAACUGAUUGCUCCAUUAUAUGCUUAUCCAAGCUAGAUUCAGUGACAGGAGUAGAUGGCAAACUUUCAUCCGAGAAAGUGAACAACCUUUGUUUGUCCUUUGUGAUCUGGAAUUCCAUAAGGUCAAAACCUAAUUUGACAGGGUUGUGGGUGGACAUCCAAUCAGCUCCCAAGAUAAUGUCAUAGCCUUGAAGUUUGAGAAUUCUAAAAUCUGAAGCAAAUUCCUCACCCUGAAUGGUAUAUGGACAGUUUGGGGCCAUGAAUUCAGUCCACAAAGUGCCUCCAUUGGCCACCAACACCUUUGUUUUCUUAGUGGGUGUAAGAGUGCACUUGCUCAGCGUAGCAAAAGCAGGAGACAUGAAAGUUGCAGAACUACCACUAUUAAUUAGGGCAGUAGCAGGGAGUUUGCCCACCAUUACUGUAACAGUAAAACUGAAUUUGGAAUUGCUGAUUUCCAUUAAGGCAUGCAUGGAAAUUUGUAACUGCUGUUGAUCAGGUGGUUCAUAAUUGUCUUGUUCCAUUUCUUCAGACAUUUCAGUGACAUAGACCAAAUCAGUAUCAUCAGGGUUCUGUUCUUGCAAGGCCUGAAUUUGAGCUUGGUUGCUCAUUUUACACACCUUUUUGUGUCCAGGAAACCAAGUUUCUUUGCAUUUAUAGCAAAUACCCUUGAGUCUUGCUUGUUGAAUAACAGCCGGAGUGUUAUUGAUGUUAGUUCUGGGUUGUUCCAACUCCAAUGAUUUCUUGGCAGCUGUUGGAGGGAACUGAGCAAAAUUCCUUCUUGGGGGUUGGGCUUGCUCCAUUCUUCUAGCCAGCCAGAUUGCCCUUUGUAAAUCAGCAGAUUCAUGACACUGGACAUAGUGUUGUAUGCUGUCAUGCAGGCCAGCUAUGAAACUGUUUUUGAAAUAGUCAUUUGGGAGGGCAGGAUUGUCCCUCCUCAUGAGAUUCAUGUGCUGUUCAAAUUUGAGGAUGUAAUCAUUAAGACUGCCUGACUGAAUGAGUGCAUGGAAUGCCCUGACAUUAUCACAAACAGAAUUUUCAGCAAAUCUGUCUCCCACAUGUCUGCAAAAUCGAUACCAGGGCAGAGUGUUAGCUUGGAUUCUAGUGCCUCUCCACCAUUCCAUUGCAGGACCAGUGAGGUAUGUUACUGCAAUUUCUGUUUUACUUUCAGUCGGCGUUCUAGCGGCAUCAAAAUACAUUUCAAUGGUUUGUAUCCACGAAUCUGUGCCUCUUCCAUCAAAUUCAGGAAUGUUCAUCUUGGCAGGUUUAACCAAAGCUAGAGGUCAUCUGAUAUCAAUCUGCACUUCUCUGUUGGCCUCAGCAUUUCUCCUAUGCAGCUCUACUUGAGCCUCUGCUUCAGCUUGUGCAUUAGGAGGAAGAGGAGGUAGGGUAAUAGGUGGUUGCACUGGCGGUGGAUCCUGCAAAGCCAAUCGAUUUUCCAACCCAGUUUGGACUGGCCUGUUUUGAGAGAAAUGUGGAUGUCUGUAGGGAGGUUUGUUACUUCCAUCCAGAUGUAGUUCCUUACCAGUGUUGACAUCCACUAGGACAGCUGAUCUUGCUGUCUCCGGAGUGUGCAGACCCUCUCCAGUUUUUUUAGUCGGGCCCUGUGGAGUUGCAUUAUUGCUUGUGUCAGGAGCCUCCUAAAGAACUGGGGGUGGUACAUCUCUGGGUGGGGGAAAUGAGGUGAUGAACUUGUUCAAGCAAACUUGCAGUUCACCCAAGGUCUUUUGCACUGACUGAAAAUUGUUUGCUAGAUGUUCUCUGAAAUCCAGGAAGUCCUUUCUGUCCAACUCUCUGUUCUGCUGUAGGGUUUUAACAUCAAGUUGCAGAGAUUGGAACUCCAGAGACUGAGUGCACGAGGACUCAACUUCUCCCCCCAUACUGUGAACUAGGACUAGUAGGAAGGAAUUAAGUUGGCAGGGAGCCAAACUACCUUUCUACCGACGAUCCACAAGAAAAAGGAGGGAAUUUUACAACAGCACAAGGCUGCAACCUGACCUUAAUCUUGAAGAUCCUACCGCCGCCGUCGCCGCCGCCGUCGCCGCGCCGCCACGAAGUACUCCGGAUCCGGGAGGGUGGUGGGAUUUUACUACCAAAGCAAGGGGCUUCAGCAACCACUAACCUGACCAGACCAGUACCCGAAUUUCACCGCCGCCUGCGCCACCAAGAAGCACCGCCGCCGGGAUCGAGGGGGGAAAAGAGGAUUUUACGGCGCCUCCAACUCUUCUCCGGCCCCAAAUCCAACUCGCCGCCAAGGAUCCAACCUUGCUCUGAAUACCAAAUGUCAGACUCGAGUUGUCUGACGGACUAAAUUCAGAAAACGCACUCAGUAUUCAGAGAAUAUCACUAGCACAACUUGAUUUCAGAGGACAGUUUGGCUAGGGUUUUGGUUACAAGGAGACCAACCGGGAACACCGGCGGCUAGGGUUUACCCCAAGGGAGAAUAAUCAUGAGCAUGCAGGCUCUCAAAUCCUGACUAUAUAGCCUUACAAGCCACUAGAAGGGGCGAGAAACGCACAUGGAGGAGAGGGGAGUGGUUGAGCUUUACAGAAAGAUCAACAGCGACGCCUUGACCACCAAGAGAUGUCCGAUGGAAGAUCAAUGCACCACAUCUUCCGUAGCUUGCCGAAGCGGUACGAAGCAACCAGGUGCGUUGGAUGGAAGAUG